ensembl:lncRNA
ACAGGGUUGAAGGUUGGACUGUUCUUAGGCCAGCCAGCCAGCCUAUAUCUGUUAAUUCAUGUUCAUUACUUUCAGAUGGCUAAAUCAAAUGCUGAGAGGCAAAGGGAAUACAGGGCGAGAAGAAACGCCGAUUCAGAGAGAAGGGAAGACUACCUAAGGAAAGAGAGAGAGAGAUGGAAAAGAGAUACAGAUGCAGGGAAAAAGAAAGCAAUCAGUGACCUGAGUGAGAGAGGUCAAAGACGUAAGCGUAAGGAGUGGUGGAAGGCUAAAGACAGACAGAAAAGGAGGGCUGAGAUUGAAAACAGUGGGCCUACCUCUCUAACCCCUCCACAAAGUCCCGACAGUGAGAUUCAAGAUGCAGUGCAAGCCAGACCAGGGUCCUCACGUCAUUCAGCAGGCAAGAAAGCAUCCAGAAAAACAAGAGACAAACUGCGCAAAGAAGACGAAGAACUAAAAAGGAAACUCAAACAUAAGAAGAAGCAGAAAGAAAAAUACAAGAAAAGACUCCAGCGAGCAACCAAGAAUAAAGACUCUCCCAGGUGCAAAGUCCGUCAGUUGCUGAGGAAUUGUAUUGUGAACAGCAAGUAACCAGAGAACCCAAUGUGCACCGAAUUCAGAGAAUCACCCAGCUGCCAUCAGCGAGGACCAUGAGCCAAACUGGCCAAAAUAUGAUAUGACGAUCAUCAGAACUUGUGACAACUACAAAGAUGCCUGUAGGAUUAUGGAGCAGUAUCAGACCGGCUGCAACACCUCUGAUCUACAGUCUGAGGCAGAGCAGGAGUGCGGGCCACCAGAUAAGAGACAAAGGAGGCCAGUCCAUCGUUUCGGAAACCCUGACCAGAGCGAAGAAGAUGUGGAAGAUAUAGUGUCUCAGUUGGAAGCACUACCAGUGCUUCCACGCCCAAGCCAAUUGCCCCGGCAGACUCCACUAUCUCGCCGAGUGCCAGGCAGUAGAUUCAGUCCUCCUCAACCUGGAGAAAAUUGUCCAGCACCUCACCAUGGGGCAGGACUGCAUCACCCUGCACCCGCUUUGAACAUGCAGAGAGUUACUCAAGGAACAGCAGUCCCUCCUCAACUCCCUCCACCCCCCGCACCAGCCCUCAACAUGCAGCCUUCUUCCAGCCUGGCCUACAGACCAACAUGGCGAGGGGGAAGAAUGGCCGAUACCAUUCCCUGCUCUGCGGCAGAGUUCCAAAUUCUAAGCCUGCUGGAAACGAUAAAACACCAAAACGACCAAUUUACGGCUAUGGUGAACCUACUCACCAGUAGGAUGACCAGCACCCCGGGGGCCAGAUGUGGAGAUGCCGGACAGCAUUCAGUUUCCCCUGGAACAAUUGGAAGCAGUGGAGGCAUUUGAACAGUUUUUAAAGGAACCGUCAAAUGGCCCAGCUCGACAGAGAGUGUUGCUGUGAGGAAAAACGUGGUGACACGGUCAGCCACCGACGCGGAGGUCACCAAACACGCCAUCAGGUGGUUCAACCUGGCGUCGGAUCGAGCGGCGAGGAGACGUGUCCCUCCUCCAUCCACUCAUUUGACCCAAUGAAUAACAAUUAAACAAUCUUUUGAUUGAACUUCUUGUCGUUCACCAG